UACGUAUGGUGCAAGCGUUAUCCGGAUUUACUGGGUGUAAAGGGAGCGCAGGCGGCGCGCUAAGUCUGAUGUGAAAGCCCGGGGCUCAACUCCGGGACUGCAUUGGAAACUGGCGUGCUGGAGUGCCGGAGAGGUAAGCGGAAUUCCUAGUGUAGCGGUGAAAUGCGUAGAUAUUAGGAGGAACACCAGUGGCGAAGGCGGCUUACUGGACGGUGACUGACGCUGAGGCUCGAAAGCGUGGGGAGCAAACAGG
rnacentral:rRNA from 1 species